rnacentral:rRNA from 1 species
GUAGGUGGCAAGCGUUGUCCGGAAUUAUUGGGCGUAAAGCGCGCGCAGGCGGUCCUUUAAGUCUGAUGUGAAAGCCCACGGCUCAACCGUGGAGGGUCAUUGGAAACUGGGGGACUUGAGUACCGAAGAGGAAAGCGGAAUUCCAAGUGUAGCGGUGAAAUGCGUAGAGAUUUGGAGGAACACCAGUGGCGAAGGCGGCUUUCUGGUCUGUAACUGACGCUGAGGCGCGAAAGCGUGGGGAGCAAACAGGAUUAGAUACCCUGGUAGUCCACGCCGUAAACGAUGAGUGCUAAGUGUUAGGGGUUUCCGCCCCUUAGUGCUGCAGCUAACGCAUUAAGCACUCCGCCUGGGGGAGUACGGCCGCAAGGCUG